GAUGCGGCGUGCUAUACAUGCAAGUCGAGCGAACUGAUUAGAAGCUUGCUUCUAUGACGUUAGCGGCGGACGGGUGAGUAACACGUGGGCAACCUGCCUGUAAGACUGGGAUAACUUCGGGAAACCGAAGCUAAUACCGGAUAGGAUCUUCUCCUUCAUGGGAGAUGAUUGAAAGAUGGUUUCGGCUAUCACUUACAGAUGGGCCCGCGGUGCAUUAGCUAGUUGGUGAGGUAACGGCUCACCAAGGCAACGAUGCAUAGCCGACCUGAGAGGGUGAUCGGCCACACUGGGACUGAGACACGGCCCAGACUCCUACGGGAGGCAGCAGUAGGGAAUCUUCCGCAAUGGACGAAAGUCUGACGGAGCAACGCCGCGUGAGUGAUGAAGGCUUUCGGGUCGUAAAACUCUGUUGUUAGGGAAGAACAAGUACGAGAGUAACUGCUCGUACCUUGACGGUACCUAACCAGAAAGCCACGGCUAACUACGUGCCAGCAGCCGCGGUAAUACGUAGGUGGCAAGCGUUAUCCGGAAUUAUUGGGCGUAAAGCGCGCGCAGGCGGUUUCUUAAGUCUGAUGUGAAAGCCCACGGCUCAACCGUGGAGGGUCAUUGGAAACUGGGGAACUUGAGUGCAGAAGAGAAAAGCGGAAUUCCACGUGUAGCGGUGAAAUGCGUAGAGAUGUGGAGGAACACCAGUGGCGAAGGCGGCUUUUUGGUCUGUAACUGACGCUGAGGCGCGAAAGCGUGGGGAGCAAACAGGAUUAGAUACCCUGGUAGUCCACGCCGUAAACGAUGAGUGCUAAGUGUUAGAGGGUUUCCGCCCUUUAGUGCUGCAGCUAACGCAUUAAGCACUCCGCCUGGGGAGUACGGUCGCAAGACUGAACUCAAAGGAAAUGACGGGGCCCGCCACAGCGGUGGAGCAUGUGGUUUAAUUCGAGCACGCGAGAACCUUACCAGGUCUGGACGUCCUCUGACUACUCUAAGAUAGAGCGUUCCCCUGUCGGGCGACAAGUGGACAGAGGUGCUAGGUG
rnacentral:rRNA from 1 species